rnacentral:misc_RNA from 1 species
AACAUCGCGCACCUGCGGGAACCUGCGGAGGGAUCAUUAACAAGCUGUGGGAGAUCAAUUUGAUCUCACACCUGGCCAACCUUGUUAACCUUAAAUAUAUUGCUUUGGUGAGCCCUGCUCACCAAAGUCAAACCCUAAACUCUUGAUUUUUUCUGCUGUCUGAGCAUGCAAGUGCAAAAUUUAGUUAAAAAACUUUCAACAACGGAUCU